rnacentral:rRNA from 1 species
AAUCCAUAGGUUAAUGAGGCGAACCGGGGGAACUGAAACAUCUAAGUACCCCGAGGAAAAGAAAUCAACCGAGAUUCCCCCAGUAGCGGCGAGCGAACGGGGAGGAGCCCAGAGCCUGAAUCAGCAUGUGUGUUAGUGGAAGCGUCUGGAAAGGCGCGCGAUACAGGGUGACAGCCCCGUACACAAAAGCGCAUGUGCUGUGAGCUCGAUGAGUAGGGCGGGACACGUGGUAUCCUGUCUGAAUAUGGGGGGACCAUCCUCCAAGGCUAAAUACUCCUGACUGACCGAUAGUGAACCAGUACCGUGAGGGAAAGGCGAAAAGAACCCCGGCGAGGGGAGUGAAAAAGAACCUGAAACCGUGUACGUACAAGCAGUGGGAGCACAGGUUUACCUGUGUGACUGCGUACCUUUUGUAUAAUGGGUCAGCGACUUAUAUUCUGUAGCAAGGUUAACCGUAUAGGGGAGCCGGAGGGAAACCGAGUCUUAAUUGGGCGUUAAGUUGCAGGGUAUAGACCCGAAACCCGGUGAUCUAGCCAUGGGCAGGUUGAAGGUUGGGUAACACUAACUGGAGGACCGAACCGACUAAUGUUGAAAAAUUAGCGGAUGACCUGUGGCUGGGGGUGAAAGGCCAAUCAAACCGGGAGAUAGCUGGUUCUCCCCGAAAGCUAUUUAGGUAGCGCCUCGUGAAUUCAUCUCCGGGGGUAGAGCACUGUUUCGGCUAGGGGGCCAUCCCGGCUUACCAACCCGAUGCAAACUGCGAAUACCGGAGAAUGUUAUCACGGGAGACACACGGCGGGUGCUAACGUCCGUCGUGAAGAGGGAAACAACCCAGACCGCCAGCUAAGGUCCCAAAGUCAUGGUUAAGUGGGAAACGAUGUGGGAAGGCCCAGACAGCCAGGAUGUUGGCUUAGAAGCAGCCAUCAUUUAAAGAAAGCGUAAUAGCUCACUGGUCGAGUCGGCCUGCGCGGAAGAUGUAACGGGGCUAAACCAUGCACCGAAGCUGCGGCAGCGAACGUAUCACCCAAGACAACUUUACGGAGUUGACGAUUGACGGAGCGAAGCGACGUCAAAGCGUUCAUUAAAGUCGAGUUGGCUUAGGGAUACGUUCGUUGGGUAGGGGAGCGUUCUGUAAGCCUGUGAAGGUGUGUCGUGAGGCAUGCUGGAGGUAUCAGAAGUGCGAAUGCUGACAUAAGUAACGAUAAAGCGGGUGAAAAGCCCGCUCGCCGGAAGACCAAGGGUUCCUGUCCAACGUUAAUCGGGGCAGGGUGAGUCGACCCCUAAGGCGAGGCCGAAAGGCGUAGUCGAUGGGAAACGGGUUAAUAUUCCCGUACUUGGUGUUACUGCGAAGGGGGGACGGAGAAGGCUAUGUUGGCCGGGCGACGGUUGUCCCGGUUUAAGCGUGUAGGUGUGUGUUCCAGGUAAAUCCGGUUCACUUUAACACUGAGGCGUGACGACGAGGCACUACGGUGCUGAAGCAACAAAUGCCCUGCUUCCAGGAAAAGCCUCUAAGCAUCAGGUAACACGAAAUCGUACCCCAAACCGACACAGGUGGUCAGGUAGAGAAUACCAAGGCGCUUGAGAGAACUCGGGUGAAGGAACUAGGCAAAAUGGUGCCGUAACUUCGGGAGAAGGCACGCUGACACGUAGGUGAAGUGAUUUACUCAUGGAGCUGAAGUCAGUCGAAGAUACCAGCUGGCUGCAACUGUUUAUUAAAAACACAGCACUGUGCAAACACGAAAGUGGACGUAUACGGUGUGACGCCUGCCCGGUGCCGGAAGGUUAAUUGAUGGGGUCAGCGUAAGCGAAGCUCCUGAUCGAAGCCCCGGUAAACGGCGGCCGUAACUAUAACGGUCCUAAGGUAGCGAAAUUCCUUGUCGGGUAAGUUCCGACCUGCACGAAUGGCGUAAUGAUGGCCAGGCUGUCUCCACCCGAGACUCAGUGAAAUUGAACUCGCUGUGAAGAUGCAGUGUACCCGCGGCAAGACGGAAAGACCCCGUGAACCUUUACUAUAGCUUGACACUGAACAUUGAGCCUUGAUGUGUAGGAUAGGUGGGAGGCUUUGAAGUGUGGACGCCAGUCUGCAUGGAGCCGACCUUGAAAUACCACCCUUUAAUGUUUGAUGUUCUAACGUGGACCCGUAAUCCGGGUUGCGGACAGUGUCUGGUGGGUAGUUUGACUGGGGCGGUCUCCUCCUAAAGAGUAACGGAGGAGCACGAAGGUUGGCUAAUCCUGGUCGGACAUCAGGAGGUUAGUGCAAUGGCAUAAGCCAGCUUGACUGCGAGCGUGACGGCGCGAGCAGGUGCGAAAGCAGGUCAUAGUGAUCCGGUGGUUCUGAAUGGAAGGGCCAUCGCUCAACGGAUAAAAGGUACUCCGGGGAUAACAGGCUGAUACCGCCCAAGAGUUCAUAUCGACGGCGGUGUUUGGCACCUCGAUGUCGGCUCAUCACAUCCUGGGGCUGAAGUAGGUCCCAAGGGUAUGGCUGUUCGCCAUUUAAAGUGGUACGCGAGCUGGGUUUAGAACGUCGUGAGACAGUUCGGUCCCUAUCUGCCGUGGGCGCUGGAGAACUGAGGGGGGCUGCUCCUAGUACGAGAGGACCGGAGUGGACGCAUCACUGGUGUUCGGGUUGUCAUGCCAAUGGCACUGCCCGGUAGCUAAAUGCGGAAGAGAUAAGUGCUGAAAGCAUCUAAGCACGAAACUUGCCCCGAGAUGAGUUCUCCCUGAGACUUAGAGUCUCCUGAAGGAACGUUGAAGACGACGACGUUGAUAGGCCGGGUGUGUAAGCGCAGCGAU